rnacentral:snRNA from 1 species
AUAGCUUCUUGGCCUUUUGGCUAAGAUCAAGUGUAGUAUCUGUUCUUAUUACUGGGUUGUGCAUCCCAGCUAAAGAAUAUAUGUCAGGAACCCCCC